rnacentral:rRNA from 1 species
AGUUCGAUCCUGGCCUGAUUGAACGCUGGCGGGAUGUUUUACACAUGCAAGUCGAACGGCAGCACGGACUUCGGUCUGGUGGCGAGUGGCGAACGGCAGUAAUGUAUCGGAACGUGCCUAGUAGCGGGGGAUAACUACGCGAAAGCGUAGCUAAUACCGCAUACGCCUUCGGGGGAAAGCGGGGACCUCUCGGGCCUCGCACUAUUAGAGCGGCCGUGGAUAUCGGAUUAGCUAGUUGGUGGGGCAACGGCUCACCAAGGCGACGAUCCGUAGCUGGUUUGAGAGGAUUUUAAUUCAGCCACACUGGGACUGAGACACGGCCCAGACUCCUACGGAGGCAGCAGUGGGGAAUUUUGGACAAUGGGGAAACCCCUGAUCCAGCCAUCCCGCGUGCGAUGAAGGCCCCCGGGUUGUAAAGCACUUUUGGCAGGAAAGAAACGGUACGGAGGAAUACUCCCCGUGCAACUGACGGUACCUGCAGAAUAAGCACCGGCUAACUACAGGCCAGCAGCCGCGGUAAUACGUAGGGUGCAAGCGUUAAUCGGAAUUACUGGGUAAAGCGCGCAGGCGGUUCGGAAAAGAAAGAUGUGAAAUCCCAGAGCUUAACUUUGGAACUGCAUUUAACUACUGAGCUAGAGUGUCAGAGGGAGGUGGAAUUCCGCGUGUAGCAGUGAAAUGCGUAGAUAUGCGGAGGAACACUGAUGGCGAAGCGGCAGCUUCUGGGAUAACACUGACGCUCAUGCACGAAAGCGUGGGGAGCAAACAGGAUUAGAUACCCUGGUAGUCCACGCCCUAAACGAUGUCAACUAGCUGUUGGGGCCUCGCCUCGGGGGCGUAAAGCGACUGCAGAAGUUGAUCGUCAGGGAAGGGCGAACAAAGAUGUCAGCCCGUUAACUGGAUGGGAUCUGCAUGGCGGUGACGAGUGGAUUAAUUCGAUGCAACGCGAAAACCUUACCUACCCUUGACAUGUCUGGAAUCCCGAAGAGAUUUGGGAGUGCUCGCAAGAGAACCGAACACAGGUGCUGAUGGCUGUCGUCAUUUCGUGUCGUGAGAUGUUGGGUUUAAGUCCCGCAACGACGCAAACCCUUGUCAUUAGUUGCUGAUGAAAGGGCACUCAAUGAGACUGCCGGUGACAAACCGGAGGAAGGUGGGGAUGACGUCAAGUCCUCAUGGCCCUUAUGUGGCAGGGCUUCACACGUCAUACAAUGGUCGGGACAGAGGGUCGCCAACCCGCGAGGGGGAGCCAAUCCCAGAAACCCGAUCGUAGUCCGGAUCGCAGUCUGCAACCGACUGCGUGAAGUCGGAAUCGCUAGUAAUCGCGGAUCAGCAUGUCGCGGUGAAUACGUUCCCGGGUCUUGGACACACCGCCCGUCACACCAUGGGAGUGGGUUUUACCAGAAGUAGUUAGCCUAACCGUAAGGAGGGCGAUUACCACGGUAGGAUUCAUGACUGGGGUGAAGUCGUAACAAGGUAG